rnacentral:misc_RNA from 1 species
AACUUUUUUUUUUUUCAUAAUGUAUGUCUUUCAAUUCUGUUAUCACAUCAUUAACAAAAUGGGCCUUUGAAUGUGUAUACAAGCAUGCCAACACCCUCGACAGGCUGGCCUAUACAUGUUUGUAUCAGUACUCAAUUGCCUUGAAAGAUCAUUUAGUAACUCAGUCAAUAAUGAAAGCGUCAGGAUUAAUUAUGCUAAGAAAACAUUUCAAAAACGAUUUUCUUGGAAAACAGGAACAAUUAUAAUGUAAGAGUUGACCUGUCCAAUUCGAUGAUAUUGAAAUGUUGGUGUUAAUUUAUAAGUUUUGUUUAUACUCGCUGUUUGUUUUCUUUUUGUUUGUUGUCUUUUGUUUGCUUAUGAAAUAUAACUUCAGUUUCAUCGUCAACAGGGGAAUGUGGUCAAGGAUGUUGAAGCUAAAGGAUUCAACCCAGGAUUG